GGCUGAUGUGAAGAUGAUGAGUUAUCUCAAUUGAUUGUUCACUUACAGAUCCAACUCCUUGCUCUAUUCUUUCCUCUCUUCUCACUACUGUACUUGGCUAGGAAAA
ensembl:misc_RNA Y_RNA Y RNA